rnacentral:rRNA from 1 species
AUUGAACGCUGGCGGCAGGCCUAACACAUGCAAGUCGAGCGGAGUGGCGGACGGGUGAGUAUUGUCUGGGAAACUGCCUGAUGGAGGGGGAUAACGUCCGGAAACGGGCGCUAAUACCGCAUAAUAUCAGAUGAGCCUAGGUCGGAUUAGCUAGUGGGUGGGGUAAAGGCCUCCCAAGGCGACGAUCCGUAACUGGUCUGAGAGGAUGAUCAGUCACCCUGGAACUGAGACACGGUCCAGACUCCUACGGUAGGCAGCAGUGGGGAAUAUUGGACAAUGGGCGAAAGCCUGAUCCAGCCAUGCCGCGUGUGUGAAGAAGGUCUUCGGAUUGUAAAGCACUUUAAGUUGGGAGGCGUUACCAACAGAAUAAGCACCGGCUAACUUCGUGCCAGCAGCCGCGGUAAUAC